UAUUAGCUAGUAGAUGGCUAUGGCGAGGAGCGGCGCCUUUGCUCUUCUCUCUCUCUCGCCGAGCAAAGCGGGGAUCUUGAUGCGCUAGGGCAUCGAUUCUCGUUGAUCGUGUUGGCAGCGCCUCGCAGCGGUGGCGGCAUUGGGAUUGUGACGCUUGCCCGGGCAAUGUGUCGAAUUUGAAGGCGCUGCGCCACUGUGUCACGGGCGCGAUCGGCGAGCGCAGCGCGCGUCGACGGGGCAUCGAUGGAGCUAGGUAAUCACACAAGGGGCUCGCGUUGAAUCGAGCUUUUUCCUUCUUUCUCUCUGCUUCCCGUGAUCUUCCUCGCUUUUCCCAUUCGAUCCUCGGCUUUCCAUGGCGAAUUGGAGGUAAUCGCUCCGAAAUAUUCCCUCCUGUCGGAAGCGCUUGCUCGAAAUAUUUCCACUCCGAUCGAUCCGCAAGAUGGAGCUCCACGGCGGCGACCCGGACCUCUGCUAUGGCCUGGACGUGGAUCUUGUGGGAGACAACGAUGAGGCCUGGGCGAGGCGGUCGUCCAGGAUCACGAGGAUUUCAGCGACGACGACAUGGACGUGGACGAGCUGGAGAAGAGGAUUUGGAACGAUCGGCUGCGGCUCAAGCGGAUCAAGGACAAGCAAAAGGCCAGGGUCAACAACGCAUUCUCCUCGAAUCACUCGAAUCACAGCAGCCAUGCGCAGCCGCAGCAGCAGCAGCAUCACGGCGGCCCAGCAGCGCAGCACCAGAAUCUGGGCAAUCUCCCCAAGCACAAGCAAUCCCAGGAGCAAGCCCGGCGGAAGAUGUUGCGAGCCCAGGACGGGAUCCUCAAGUACACUCUCAAGAUGAUGGAGGUCUGCAAAGCCCAAGGAUUCGUCUAUGGUAUCAUCCCCGAGAAGGGCAAGCCAGUGAGCGGCGCCAGCGACAACAUCCGCGCGUGGUGGAAGGAGAAGGUCCGCUUCGAUCGGAACGGCCCCGCCGCCAUGGCCAAGUACGAGGCGGAGCACGGCAUCUGCUCCAGAUCCGGCGGAGGCGCUGGCCAGCUCUCCGCCGCCACCCCGACGCCACACACUCUCCAGGAGCUCCAGGACACCACCCUCGGAUCGCUUCUCUCGGCGCUAAUGCAGCACUGCGAUCCACCCCAGCGGAGGUACCCGCUGGAGAAAGGGGUGGCGCCGCCGUGGUGGCCGAGCGGCGACGAGGAGUGGUGGCCCGAGCUUGGGCUUCCAAAGGGGCAGGGGCCGCCGCCGUAUAAGAAGCCCCAUGAUCUCAAGAAGGUGUGGAAGGUUGGAGUUCUCACUGCGGUGAUCCGACACAUGUCCCCGGAUAUCGAAGAUCAGGAAGCUCGUGAGGCAGUCCAAGUGCGACUGCCAAGGAGAGCGCGACGUGGAUCUCGGUGCUCAACCAGGAGGAGGCGCUGGCGAGGCAGUGGAAUUUGAUCGGGCAGCAGCAGCAGCAGCAGAGCCACCACCACCGCCAUAACCAGGAAGAGGUCGAAGAGCAAGAAAACAAUGAGGAAGCACCAGACAGAUCCAUUCGAGAUUUCUAUGUGAACGGAAGAUCCCUUUUACGAUUCGGCGGUAUCUCCGAAUGAGAGAGUGGUCCUCUUCGUGCGUUUCUAAGAGGCUACGAGAUUGGGGAGGAUUCUUGGAAGAGACAAGUUGGAAACUAGAGAAAAAUCUCAAAAGAUUCGUGGGAUACUAUGCAUAUGCUUUUAGGGUUCUUUGUAGAUUAGCUAAAGGAGAAAAUUCGCUAGGGUUUUCUUUCAUUUGUAAUGGCAGGGGCGCGGCUCGCGAUCGUCUCCGAUCUUGAUGGAACAAUGGUACGCACCGCUCGUUUCUUCUUCGAUGCGCUCUGGGCCGCGGAUUAUUUCCAUGACUCGCUUCUGGUGUUCUCGACUGGAAUAUCGCCGACGAUGUAUCGCCUGCUGAGGCGGGAGAGGCCGCUGCUCACGCCGGAGGUCACGAUCUUGUCUGUGGGGUACGGCGAUGCCAUGGUUCCAGAUUCUGGAUGAGAGCAAGAACUAAACAAGGGGUGGGAUAGGGCUGUUUGGAAGAGACUUCCAAGUUUCCAGAGCUUACAUUCCAGGAACAAACAGAACAGCGACCUCACAAAGUCAGCUUCAAGCUGAAGAAGGCAGAGGCUCCUCGGGUUGUGGAGACACUGUUGAAUUGAUUGAUCGAGUGUGGGCCAAGUUUUUAGAGGAUCGUUCGAAGCUUUCGUGAUCUAAUCCUUUUUCUUUUUUGUUCUUCCAGUUGGAUGUAAAAAUCAUAUACAGCGGAGGACAGGAUAUGCUUGAGCAGCUGACAAGGGACAGCUCAUGAGGGAAGGCAGAGCUCCUCAGAAAGUUCUUGUGAUGCUGAGCUCUUUGCCGUCAAAGACGUUUUUGGAGUGAUCGUCGGGAAUGCGUUUGAAGAUCUUACGCAGUGGUACCUUGAUAAUGCCAAAGACAAUCCCAAGAUCUUUCGUGGCACUGAAAGAUGCGCUUCGGGAAUCUUACAAGCUAUCCGAGAGUUCAAGUUUGAUCCUUGUGUUUCGCCCAGGGAUGCCGACUUACUGAGCCAGCUCACUGCUGGGGACACCGAAGGGUUGAUCGGACGUGGAGUGGUGCUACUGUGUGAGAUGGUUACGAGGCGAGGUUGAAAGCUCCCACGAGGUGUUUGAACACUUGAAAAGGCCAAUGGCCCCUGACUCAACGCUGGUCACUCCGUGGGGACUAGAAGACGAUCUUCGUACAAGCGUUGAGAUUCUACGUCCCUCCACGGUAUUCACAGGGGAAAGAACUUCUGUAUGUGGGUUGAUCGAAUUCGUGCGACGAAGGUUGGGGACGUUACUUGGGUUGUCAAGUUUGAUAACUGGCAGCGAACGGACGAAGAGCUGAAUUAUCGCUUGACAACCGCCGUGUGUUUCAAUAUAAGGAUGACAUGCCUUAUGCGAGUGUAUUACGAAUCCACGAAACGUGGCUUGAUGGUUAUGCGGGAAGAUCUUUGGUCCUAAUGUAGGAGGCACAGCCAACGGUUUGCUGAGAUUGAUAUAUGGUGAAGAAAAACGAGACAAAUGCGCACUCAGUGAUGGAGCCCGUAGUGCGACGAUCCAUGGUCGAGGUCGACUUACAACGCGUUGAUAAGUUCUACACUUAAUGGAAUGGCAUGUGGAUCCAAACGCACACGCGUGAUCGACAUUUGCGACAAGACGAGGGGUGACAUCAGGAUCAAAAGCGAGAAUAAGAUACACUCAGGUCGGAACGACAGGGAUCAAACUCAUCAGUAGCAACGGAGAGCAAAUGGAAGGAGAAAAAACCCGGCGGGUUGGGGUCCACGUCGUCAACAAAACGAUGCGGAUCAAUGUUAAAAACCCACAGACUGAAUCUGGCAAGGAAAAGGAAAAGUAUAAUCGGGCCACUAACAAGGUGGAGCAUCGCGAAUGGAAGAUAAGCUAAAAUGCAUUUAUUUUCGUUCUCUUUCUUUCUCCGUGGUAUGGGGGACUUCUCUCAGCAUAUCCCGAGCUGCAUAUCCAGUGAUUCAAAGCAAAGUUCUCACCCUUAUACCCCUCUUUGAUGAUAGUCGGGCAAUUAUCACACCACUAUUCUUCCAUGUCUUGUGUGUCUCUAGUCGGCCAACCAGAGUAUAAAAUGCGACCACCACCUUCAUUGCAAACUCCCCCUGCUCCCUCUUCCUCUCGCAGAAGGAGAGAAGGCUCCAAGUUUUUGAGUGAGCAAAGGGCUCUCACCUCGAGAACUCGACAAGCUCCCUCGAUUCCAAGCUUGGCUCCUUCGGUUAUUCUUCUCCUCUUCGUCCCCUUGCAAGAUUUGGUUGCGCCAGCAAUCGGGAUUCCGACGAAACAAAACGCUCCAUAAGCGUGAUUUCCAGAAAGAAGCACAGGCGCCAGAAAAGUUUGAAGAGGCAUUCUGAACUUGACACCAUUUCCUCCAGGUAAUCCAAGCUUUCAGACAUGGUGAAGUUCCAGAAGCAGCUGGAGGGCCAGCUCGUCCCAGAGUGGCGGGUGAAGUACUGCGACUACAAGCAGCUCAAGAAAGUUGUCAAGAGAAUCAAAAACCAGAUCCUACACAGCAGCACAAGGUGUUCGAUCCAAAUGUCUUCUCGGAUGACAAGAGCAAGCUUCAAAACUUGCUGCAAAAUCCCAGCGCCAUCCUGAGCAGCUGCUGCGAACAAUCCAUAUCCUCGGAAACGUCCAUGGAUGUUCUGGACUGUAAAGACGAAACAAAACUCUUCAAUACGAUGAGGUUGUGCACAAGA